CUAAUCCCAGUGGGAGUUUCGUAGAGGUUUCAUGCACAUUAAAUACGGUGACACAUCAGCAUAUGUGAUGACAUGGCAUGGUAGUUAUGAAGUGAGAGAGGGAAGGGGUUUCAUCAGGAUGAAACUGUGUAUACACUGUUUCUAAGACUAUGAAACCUAUUGAAACUUGCAUUGGGGGCUAUAGAGUUUCAUUUCAUCUAACCAUAUCCAAUCACAUGCCUCACAAUUAAAUGUCAUGGGCAUCCUAUGAAAUCGUGAAAUGAAACUGUGCACUGUAACUCCCUGUUUUAUUCAUGAGAAUACACCUCAUGGGAUGAUAUGACAUCCUUAGAAAUAGUACAAUGAAACCUUGCACUGGGACUAGCCUUACGCACGCGCGCACUUGUGAAUGAAGGUGUUUGGUCAUGCAUGUUCGUUCACGUGUAGUGGCCUAUGACUAUUCCGAAAUGCUGCAGAGGGGUUAUUGCCUAUUGGCAGCUGCUCUGCUUUCCUCCGGUUCCAGGACGCGAGUUCUGGCCUUCUGGGUUCGCUCUGUGAAUCUCGUGCCUCGUGUCAGGUGUCA
rnacentral:lncRNA from 1 species